rnacentral:rRNA from 1 species
UGAGGAAUAUUGGUCAAUGGGCGCAAGCCUGAACCAGCCAAGUAGCGUGCAGGAAGACGGCCCUAUGGGUUGUAAACUGCUUUUAUACGAGAAUAAUUUGAUGCACGUGUGCGUUAUUGCAUGUAUCGUAUGAAUAAGGACCGGCCAAUUCCGUGCCAGCAGCCGCGGUAAUACGGAAGGUCCAGGCGUUAUCCGGAUUUAUUGGGUUUAAAGGGAGUGUAGGCGGUUUGUUAAGCGUGUUGUGAAAUUUAGAUGCUCAACAUUUAACUUGCAGCGCGAACUGUCAGACUUGAGUACACGCAACGUAUGCGGAAUUCAUGGUGUAGCGGUGAAAUGCUUAGAUAUCAUGAAGAACUCCGAUUGCGAAGGCAGCAUACGGGAGUGUAACUGACGCUUAAGCUCGAAGGUGCGGGUAUCGAACAGGAUUAGAUACCCUGGUAGUCCGCACAGUAAACGAUGGAUGCCCGCUGUUAGCGCCUGGCGUUAGCGGCUAAGCGAAAGCAUUAAGCAUCCCACCUGGGGAGUACGCCGGCAACGGUG